rnacentral:siRNA from 1 species
UAGAGGUGUCAAAAUAGGUAACCC